AAAAAAAAAAAAAAAAAAAGUUACAGAUCAAAGACCAGCAGAAACUAAUCCAUGCAGGGUAACAAUGCCAAUCACGAUAUUUUGAUGAUUGAUCACAGGCAAAAAUUGCACAGGGGACGGUGGUGAUUCCAUCUUCUUCAUGGCUUCCACAGCCAUUGCAUCUGGACCAAUUGUUCUUGGGUUCCUGAAACAGCAAAAUAUGUGCUAAGAAUUGUGUCACGUUACCACAAACCCCCUUCCUCCUUAUCUCUCUCCUUCUCCCUAAGCUCUAUCAUAAUUUGCCACCUUGGCAGAGAGAUAAAGAGAUGUAACCUUAAAAGCAUUUUCAUAUGUACACUAAACGUUUCUUGGGCCAUAGCAUUAGCAUAUGACUUCGCUUGCCAGGCACCUUCCAGCCCUAGGACUAAUUGUCCCAGAAAUAUACUCUUGAAAAAGUGACCAUAAAUGCAUAUGUUCUUUAUUUUACCUGUUGCACAUCUCCCCCACAGUGAGCUUAAAGAUGCCUUCCCCACUAGCCUUGAGUGUGCGCCUAAGAUCACCAUCUGUAAAAGUUCCAAUCAGGUGAUAUUCUUCAUCAAUAACAAGCAGGCAACCACAACCUUUACUUGUUAGCUCAACUAGCUGAUCCAUUAUCAAAUCUCCUUCCCUGCAGACUGGAAGCUCAUCUUGCUUCUUCAUAACAUCUUUUACCUGCAUAUAAACAAUUACUCGGCAACUUAAGAUUUCCUGAGCUCUAUAUUCUAAACAUGCAAACACAGUAACUAUGGAGUUUCAAGCAGCAAUUUCAAAAUACAGCAUGAUAACAUAGGGGAAAAAACACCAGUAAGGCAGAAGUGUGGUUUCUCAAUACUGACUUACAGCAAACAAAAGAAUGCUAUGUGGAGCUGUUGUCCACAAGAAUAGCUAGUUCAGAAAAGAAGGGAAGAAAAAGAUUAAAACCAAAAAGUGAAAAUUCAUAUAAUAUAGUUCUAUAGAAAAUCCUUCUGUGCGGCAACACAUUGACCUGUAUAUGGUACGUGAAAAUUUAAAGCAGCAUGCUGGGAAAUGAAUUACAUUCAUAAGCCAUGAUUCAAUCAAAGACCGACUUUAAUUUCUCUUUAAUGAUGUUGCAUUUCUCCAUCAGCGACUGAGGUAUUCAGUUAUCCAAUAAAAGAAUUUCAGUAUACCCACACCAAAAAUGCAGCAAGGUUACCAUCUCAACAAUUAAAACCCUAACUAGCAACAUGAAUGCAAUAGUAAGUCCACCAAAGCACUGCUAACUCAAUCAACAAUUUCAACGUCUUGUUAUCUCCAAGCACACACACACACCCCUUGUUCCGCAUUAUCGUGCACAUGCAUUGUGAAUCUUAGCAUUGCUAGACUAGAGAUUAGAUGAAAUUGGCAACAUGUAUUCCUUUUAUAUUUCCAAACGUCAGGAGGUAAAAAGAAUUGCAAGCAAUUGCUCAAAAAUUAUAAAAUCAAUUCUGAGUAAUUCUGCGCUGACAUUGUCGAAUUGAAGUCCACAUCGAGGAAGAAGAAUCAACUGACCUUAAAAAUCAAGCUUUUUCCGAUCCUCCCAGCAGGAUGAUUAGCAGCAUACUCAUCCUUAGUCAAAUUCCUAGCACCCAUAAGGGCAAUCGCCACCGUAUCCCCAAAAACCAUCUGUAUAGCAGUGGAAGUCACCGGAGCCAAAUCAAAAGGACACAAUUCCCUUUCCAAAGGCAAAUGCACAUUCAUAUCACAAACGGUAGCAAGUGCAUUACCUUCCACGGACGUGACAGACACAAGGAAAGCACCCUUAGCCUUAGCGCAAGGCACAAGGCGCAACAACUCCUCAGUAUUACCAGAUUUGCUGAAAAGCACGAGAAUAUCACGGGCGGCGAGGAUACCAAUAUCACCGUGGAGGGCAUCGAGAGGGGAGAGGAAUCCAGCGGGAAUGCCGAGGGAGAUUAAGGUUUGGGAGAUCUUAUUAGCAACAAAACCAGACUUACCGACGCCGGAGAAGAAGAUAGUGCCGGUGGAAUUGAGGAGGGUUUGGGUGAAGGAAAGGGUCUGGGAGAGAUCAAGGUUUUGGAAGAAGUAAUUAAGGUGGUUUUGUUGGGAUUUGAAGAGAUUGAGGAGGGUAUUUUGGUCAAUCUUGGAAUAGAAAUUGGGAGACGGAGAGUCGAGAGACCCCAUUUGUGGUAUGAAACAUGGAGUUGGAUUCAGGGGUUGAGGGUAUGUAUGGAGACCUGGUAAUGGAAG
rnacentral:misc_RNA from 1 species